UUCACUUAGUUUCUAACCCCCUUCUUUUCCCAUUUGCUCUCUUUGUCCUCCCUCUCCCUUCUCUUUGUCGCCAUUUCCUGUCAAGCUCAGCCUCUGUCCACCAAUGUGGUCUCUUUGUCCUCCUCUCUUUUUCCUACUUCAACCCUCUCAUUCUUGUUACCUUCCUGACAUCUUAUGUGGGAAAGUGAUCCUUUCACCUGCCUGAAAUCUUGAUCUUCCAAGGAAUUCACAUAGUCUCACUAAACUCUGCAGGACUCUGUGCAGAUAGAAAAUCAAAGCCCAUCUGAUGUUGAGAGAGUGAAGUCUCCUCCCACUGGAGGACUGAGCUUUCAGAAAGAAUACCAAGUCCCAAGGAUGCCAGGAGAGAGAGUAAGAAUAUGGUCACUGACUGGACUCUGGACUGGAUUUGCCUGUUAGUAGCUAAUCGUCCAGGUACAGGAAGACAAUAUAGCUGUUUACUCUCAUUUGGACCACCACUACUUAGAAGAACUUCGCAAAGAUAAUGUGGGGUGCUGUAGCUAUCCCAAACAGGAGUACUCUGACCUGAAAGUGCUCCUAAGGAAUCUGAAGAGCCUUCUGUGGAAUGGAUGAUUGUCCACAUGAAAAUACGCAUUUUUUCACAUCAAGAGCCACGAACCACAUGCCCUCCUCCAGAGAAGGCAUUAUUGAUGUCAGUGUG